rnacentral:rRNA from 1 species
UACGGAGGGUGCAAGCGUUGUCCGGAUUCAUUGGGCGUAAAGCGCGUGUAGGCGGUUCGGUAAGUCCGCUCUGAAAGUCCGGGGCUCAACCCCGGGAGGCGGGUGGAUACUGUCGAACUAGAGUGCGGAAGAGGCGAGUGGAAUUCCCGGUGUAGCGGUGAAAUGCGCAGAUAUCGGGAGGAACACCAAUUGCGAAGGCAGCUCGCUGGGACGUGACUGACGCUGAGACGCGAAAGCAUGGGGAGCGAACAUG